CUAAGCAGUGAUGUGGAGCAAAACCCUAAAAACCGAAUCUCAGUUCGGAUUGAAGUCUGAAAUUCGACUUCAUGAAGCUGGAAUUGCUAGUAAUGGCAGGUCAGCAUACUGCCGUGAAUACGUUCCCGGGCCUUGUACACACCGCCCGUCACACCAUGAGAGUUGGGAAUACCCGAAGCCUGUGAGCUAACUUUUAGAGGCAGCAGUCGAAGGUAGAAUCAAUGAUUGGGGUGAAGUCGUAACAAGGUAAC
rnacentral:rRNA from 1 species